AACAAGGCGUACCUGCGGACCUGCGGAAGGAUCAUUAGAGAUUGACCGAAAGGUCUUAUCUCUAUAUCCCUCACCUCUGUGAACUGUGGACCUCCGGGUCUAUUUAACAAACAUCAGUGUAAUGAACGUAUAUAUCAUUAAACAAAACAAAACUUUCAACAAUGGAUCU
rnacentral:misc_RNA from 1 species